UUCUCUGUGCAAAAAUUUUUU
rnacentral:piRNA from 1 species